UGGAGGAGGAAGGCUGACCCCAUACACAACCCAGGCUACUUUGUGUCCCUGCCUCUACAGGCUCCACAGCACAGCAGGCCACUGUUGGGCUCCCUCAGAGUGAGCCUCACCUGCAGUCUCUGUGGGGCAUCAGAUGGCCUUGCCUGCCUCAGCCUGUCCCUGCCUCUUGUCAUCCUGUGUGAAGUUCCUCCCUGGCUGCAGCCAGCCACAAGAGGCUGACCUGUCACAACUUCAGGAAGGUGGUGCAGCCAGACACCUGGUUACUAAAGAAUUUGUCACCUAAGUCCUCCUGCUGGCUUACCAAGGAAUCCUAGACAAGAUCCACCACACUCCCCAAUGGACUUGGAACCACAGGAAGGACUGAGUGAAAUAAAUGUCAAUGUUAUAAUUUA